rnacentral:pre_miRNA from 1 species
UAAAUACUCCCUCCGUCCCAAAAUAAGUGUCUCAGCUUUAGUACAACUUUGUACUAAAGUUAGUACAAAGUUGAGACACUUAUUUUGGGACGGAGGAAGUAUAAA